CUCAAUAAUACAAGUAGCAUUCCCUUUUCCAAAAUUUCCCAUCCUCUUCCAAAUACUUUCCAUUUUCUCCACCUACCAAAAACUUCCUUUCAACAAUUGCUUCAUCCUAAUAGUUGAAGAUGAUGUUUAUUCAUUUGGCAAAAAAAAUUACGGUGCAAUCUGAUUGGUCUCUUGUCAGAGUUAUAUUUUUAUUUUCAACGGCCGUGAUUUCCUUGAUUAAAUAUGUUCCUAAGGCACUGUUACUCAACGAGUAUGAUCUUCACGGCUGGAAAACCAAGGUGUGUGCUAAGCGGAAAAACAUUCCCGGAAUGUAGAAAUAUCAUGGGAGAAACACCUAUGCAUUGGAGUCCAGGAGAGUGUAUCGUAGACCUGGUUAUGGGUAAGCAAAUACCGUAAACUUUAAAAACAUGGAUUCUAAUGAGUAUAAGUGAAAAACAAAGUAUAUUUUCUGAAAUCAAACAGUAUUUAUUGCAAAUGAAUUCACAUGUGAUAUGAAUAGAGAUGAUAUACACAACUAGAGGAAGACAACAUUUGUUUGGUAGGAACAUAGAUGAUAUGUACAACAAAAAAAAGACAACAUUUGUAUGAUAGGAAUAAAGAUGAUAUACACAACACAUGUACUCUAAGUUCGCAUUUUCAGAUCAUGUUGAAUGU